UACGUAGGGUGCAAGCGUUGUCCGGAAUUAUUGGGCGUAAAGAGCUCGUAGGCGGUUUGUCGCGUCUGCUGUGAAAACGCGAGGCUCAACCUCGCGCCUGCAGUGGGUACGGGCAGACUAGAGUGCGGUAGGGGAGAUUGGAAUUCCUGGUGUAGCGGUGAAAUGCGUAGAUAUCAGGAGGAAUACCGGUGGUGUAGACGGCUCUCUGGACCGCAACUGACGCUGAGACACGAAAGCGUGGGGAGCGAACAGG
rnacentral:rRNA from 1 species